rnacentral:rRNA from 1 species
UACAGAGGGUGCAAGCGUUGUUCGGAAUUCUUGGGCGUAAAGCGCGUGUAGGCGGCUUUGCAAGUCGGGUGUGAAAGCCCUCAGCUCAACUGAGGAAGUGCGCCCGAAACUGCAGAGCUUGAGUGCCGGAGAGGGUGGCGGAAUUCCCCAAGUAGAGGUGAAAUUCGUAGAUAUGGGGAGGAACACCGGUGGCGAAGGCGGCCACCUGGACGGUAACUGACGCUGAGACGCGAAAGCGUGGGGAGCAAACAGG